rnacentral:sRNA from 1 species
UGAUAUGUCUUACCCAUUUGCAACAGCCU